rnacentral:rRNA from 1 species
CCCUUAGAUGUCCGGGGCCGCACGCGCGCUACACUGAAGGAAUCAGCGUGGCUUUCUCCCUGACCCGAAAGGGUUGGGAAACCCGUUGAAUCUCCUUCGUGAUAGGGAUUGGGGCUUGAAAUUGUUCCCCAUGAACGAGGAAUUCCCAGUAAGCGCGAGUCAUCAGCUCGCGUCGAUUACGUCCCUGCCCUUUGUACACACCGCCCGUCGCUACUACCGAUCGGAUGGUUUAGUGAGACCCUCGGACUGGUCCCGCUGUCGGACAGGCAACUGUUUGCAGCGCGUGCGCCGGGAAGAAGGUCGAACUUGACUAUCUAGAGGAAGUAAAAGUCGUAACA